rnacentral:tRNA from 1 species
AUAGGAUUAAGUUAGUUAGACUGUGCGUUUUCAAAACGUUUAGCGGUUUUUCCAUUCUAUG